rnacentral:rRNA from 1 species
CCUACGGGAGGCUGCAGUGAGGAAUAUUGGUCAAUGGCCGUAAGGCUGAACCAGCCAAGUAGCGUGAGGGAAGACUGCCCUAUGGGUUGUAAACCUCUUUUAUAAAGGAAUAAAGUGAGGCACGUGUGCCUUUUUGUAUGUACUUUAUGAAUAAGGAUCGGCUCACUCCGUGCCAGCAGCCGCGGUAAUACGGAGGAUCCGAUCGUUAUCCGGAUUUAUUGGGUUUAAAGGGAGCGUAGAUGGGUUGUUAAGUCAGUUGUGAAAGUUUGCGGCUCAACCGUAAAAUUGCAAUUGAUACUGGCAGUCUUGAGUACAGUUGAGGUAGGCGGAAUUCGUGGUGUAGCGGUGAAAUGCUUAGAUAUCACGAAGAACUCCGAUUGCGAAGGCAGCUUACUAAACUGCCACUGACAUUGAUGCUCGAAAGUGUGGGUAUCAAACAGGAUUAGAUACCCGAGUAGUC